CAGUCGCCGCGGGAAUACGAAGGGUGCAAGCGUUAAUCGGAAUUACUGGACGUAAAGCGUGCGUAGGCGGUGAGUUAAGUCUGCUGUGAAAUCCCCGGGCUCAACCUGGGAAUGGCAGUGGAUACUGGCUCGCUAGAGUGUGUCAGAGGAUGGUGGAAUUCCCGGUGUAGCGGUGAAAUGCGUAGAGAUCGGGAGGAACAUCAGUGGCGAAGGCGGCCAUCUGGGACAACACUGACGCUGAGGCACGAAAGCGUGGGGAGCAAACAGGAUUAGAUACCCCCGUAGUCCCUGUCUCUUAUAC
rnacentral:rRNA from 1 species